AGGACGAACGCUGGCGGCGUGCUUAACACAUGCAAGUCGAACGAUGAAGCCCUUCGGGGUGGAUUAGUGGCGAACGGGUGAGUAACACGUGGGCAAUCUGCCCUUCACUCUGGGACAAGCCCUGGAAACGGGGUCUAAUACCGGAUACGACUGCGGGAGGCAUCUCCUGUGGUGGAAAGCUCCGGCGGUGAAGGAUGAGCCCGCGGCCUAUCAGCUUGUUGGUGGGGUAAUGGCCUACCAAGGCGACGACGGGUAGCCGGCCUGAGAGGGCGACCGGCCACACUGGGACUGAGACACGGCCCAGACUCCUACGGGAGGCAGCAGUGGGGAAUAUUGCACAAUGGGCGAAAGCCUGAUGCAGCGACGCCGCGUGAGGGAUGACGGCCUUCGGGUUGUAAACCUCUUUCAGCAGGGAAGAAGCGCAAGUGACGGUACCUGCAGAAGAAGNGCCGGCNAACUACGUGCCAGCAGCCGCGG
rnacentral:rRNA from 1 species